GUUCGUUCGUUCGUCCGUCUGUCCCGCUUCAGGUUAAAGUUUUUGGUCAAGGUAGUUUUUGAUGAAGUUGAAGUCCUAUCAACUUAAAACGUAGUACACAUGUUCCCUAUGAUUUGAUCCGUCAAAUUUUAAUGUCAAUUUUUCAAAAAAUUUAAAAAAAUUGAGUAUUCAGAAGGUCAGGCCGAUAAAAAAUUAUUCCUAGAAGUUUUGACAUACUGGCAACGUAUGCAUGUAACUAAUGUCUGGAUGAUUCUCGUAAAAUAAUGUCCGAUCUUGCAAUAAAGUUAAAAUUUAUUUAUACUGCUUAUUUGACAAAAUUUUAUCAUUAUGACAAAGGGUCAUUGUUGUUUUUCAUUUGUUUCAUUUCAAUUUGUCUUAAGAAGAAAUGAUAAACAUUUCGCCUGAUCUCACUGAAGCUUACAG
rnacentral:lncRNA from 1 species